rnacentral:rRNA from 1 species
UACGUAGGGGGGCAAGCGUUGUCCGGAAUUAUUGGGCGUAAAGAGCGUGUAGGCGGCCAGGUAGGUCUGCUGUGAAAACUCGAGGCUUAACCUCGAGCUGUCGGCGGAAACCAUCUGGCUAGAGUCCGGAAGAGGAGAAUGGAAUUCCCGGUGUAGCGGUGAAAUGCGCAGAUAUCGGGAAGAACACCCGUGGCGAAGGCGGUU